rnacentral:rRNA from 1 species
UCUGUUGAUGAACGCGCAGGGACAUUACCGAGUUUACAACACCCAAACCCAAUGUGAACCAUACCAAACUGUUGCCUCGGCGGGGUCACGCCCCGGGUGCGUCGCAGCCCCGGAACCAGGCGCCCGCCGGAGGGACCAACCAAACUCUUUCUGUAGUCCCCUCGCGGACGUUAUUUCUUACAGCUCUGAGCAAAAAUUCAAAAUGAAUCAAAACUUUCAACAACGGAUCUCUUGGUUCUGGCAUCGAUGAAGAACGCAGCGAAAUGCGAUAAGUAAUGUGAAUUGCAGAAUUCAGUGAAUCAUCGAAUCUUUGAACGCACAUUGCGCCCGCCAGUAUUCUGGCGGGCAUGCCUGUCCGAGCGUCAUUUCAACCCUCGAACCCCUCCGGGGGUCCGGCGUUGGGGAUCGGGAACCCCUAAGACGGGAUCCCGGCCCCGAAAUACAGUGGCGGUCUCGCCGCAGCCUCUCCUGCGCAGUAGUUUGCACAACUCGCACCGGGAGCGCGGCGCGUCCACGUCCGUAAAACACCCAACUUCUGAAAUGUUGACCUCGGAUCAGGUAGGAAUACCCGCUGAACUUAAGCAUAUCAAUAAGCGGAGGA